rnacentral:rRNA from 1 species
UACGUAGGGGGCGAGCGUUGUCCGGAUUUAUUGGGCGUAAAGAGCGUGUAGGCGGCCAGGUAGGUCUGCUGUGAAAGCUCGAGGCUCAACCUCGAGACGUCGGCGGAAACCAUCUGGCUAGAGUCCGGAAGAGGAGAGUGGAAUUCCUGGUGUAGCGGUGAAAUGCGCAGAUAUCAGGAAGAACACCCGUGGCGAAGGCAGCUCGCUGGGACGGUACUGACGCUGAGACGCGAAAGCGUGGGGAGCGAACAGG